rnacentral:tRNA from 1 species
GCCGUGAUCGUAUAGUGGUUAGUACAUUGGUUUGUGGCACCAAUAACCCAGGUUCGAAUCCUGGUCACGGCA